GCAGUCGUGGCCGAGUGGUUAAGGCGUCAGACUCGAAAUCUGAUGGGGUCUCCCCGCACAGGUUCGAAUCCUGUCGGCUGCG